rnacentral:lncRNA from 1 species
CAAAUACAUAAAUAAAUCAUUAUAAACCCAUGUGGCAAGUACAUGGGGCACCCAACGCACAGCAAUUUGCUCACUAAAGUAGGUGACAGAGGGGGCAACAUUGGGGCGAAGAGCUUGAAGAAAAUGGUGACGGUGUGGACGGUUAUUAAGGGGAAUCAUUCAGAGGACCAGGUCAAGUGGUUGCUGAGUGACACCAAAUGCCCCGCUGAGGCUGGGCCCCAGGCCAAUCUACAGGCCACUUGAUUUUUCUCCAGCAGGGCUCAGCUAUGAAGGCAUAUUGUGGGACUGUGGUCAGAAAGUGAAGCAUUGGAAGUGAAGAUUUCAGAAGAGGAGCUGCUCUGGGAACAAACACAGGGUCCAGCAUGUGCCCUGGGAAUGGACAGCAGACCAGGAGCCAAGGCAGGAGUCACAGGAAUUACAGAGGCACAGGGACUCCCCCUGUGGUAGGACAGCGGUUCCUGCAGACACUGCUGUCCUGGGACUGAAGUGGUUACGGCAGGAGUGGAAAGAAGGAAACUUGCCCUACUCCAUAGAAGCAGCAAGUCAUACGUUUUUAAAAAGAAACUCCGGUGGCAACGCAAGGAAUAGAUUGUAAAUGUGGAAGCUAGGGCCCAGGAAGCUGAGCGAGAGAUCAUGCAACAUUCCAGGCAAACCAUGAGAAGGGCCCGAUAGGAGGGGCAAUGAGGAGAAGCUGCAGAGACCAGACCUGAGAGGUACUGAGGAAGCAGAAUCAGUGGAGCAUGAUGCCGAAGUGAUUCCUGGAGACUCUGCCAGCAAGGCUCUUCCUCUAGCCACUGUAGUACCAAAGUAAAGGAGCACCAUGCUUGAACAUAUGGGUGCUCUCUCUCUCUAGGGACUUUAGAUCCUGAGCAAGCGACCACAUGGGUAGAAGCAACACAGUUAAUUCAUCCAAGCACGAAGAACCUGACCCAGACUAUUUCUACCACAAGAUUCUCCCUUCCAGCUUGGCUAUCUGUAAGUUUGAGAAGUCAACCUACCAAGUGACUAUUGACAUCUCCCUCCAGGAGAAUUUCAGUCCAUUGUUACUGAUUGGCAGAGUGCUUUGAGAUAUAACAGACGUGGUAAAUGAACUGAAAUGACAUCAAUUGAAAAAAAAUGUUACAAUUUCAUCUAACUUUUGUCCAGCUUCCAUUUCUACUUUUUGUUCUUUCCAUUGGAACUCAAGUACACACAACUGGACUGAGUAUUGUCCUUGGUUUAUGACACACCCUCACUAUUGGUCUAUAAAUGGCUUGUUUUUACUUAGUUAUUUUAAAUAAUAUAAGCACCUGUGAAUGCACCAGAUCCAAACAAAAACGAGGAUCCUGACAAUAACCUUGACAUAUGGUCCCGCCCCAUCACAUCCUCUUGACUCCACCUGACCAAGAUAAUCAUUCUUAAUCCUCUGUCCAUCAGCUCUGUGCCCUCCUUUCAAAAUAAGUUCUAUUGCGUCUAUGUGUGCUUCUAAAAGAUGUGUUUUCAUAAAACUUGAGUUACUUUAGAAAUUAUAAAAAGGAAAUGAGGCCAGGCUUGGUGGCUCAUGCCUGUAAUCUCAGCACUUUGGGAGGCUGAGGUGGGUGGAGGGCUUGAGCCCAGGAGUUUUAGACCAGCCUCGGUAACAUGGCAAAAUCCCGUCUCCACAAAAAAUACAAAAAAAAAAACAAAUGCCAGACAUGGUGUAGUGCCUGUAGUCCCAGCUACUCAGGAGACUGAGUUAAGAGGACCACAAGAGCCCAGGAAAGUUGAGGCUGCAGUGAGCCAUGAUCAUGCCAUUGCACUCCAGCCUGGGCAACAGAGUGAGACCCCCCACCCCAAAAAAAGGAUAUGAUAUUGUAUGUAAGUUUUUCAGACUUACUUUUUUCCAGCAAGUAUUAUUGUUAAAGUUAUUCAUAUUAUUGUUUAUGGUUGAGUUCAUUUAUUUUUAUUGCUGGAUAAUAUUUCGCUGUGUAAAUAGACCACAAUUAUCCAUUCACUUUUCCAUUAAUGGACAUUGAGUUAUUUUCAGGUUUUGCUAAUGUGAAAAAUGCUGCUAGGAGUGUUUUUAUUCAAAUCUCCUGUUUUAUGUGCAUGAGAGUUUCUUUUGAAUAUAAACCUAAUGGUGGAAUUGCUGGGUAAUAGGGUAUGUGGAUGUCCAAUUUUAGGGGAGAAGGCCAAGCCAUUUUCCAAUGUGUUUCACAAACAUACAUCCCUAUGAGUAUAAGAGGGUUUUUUUAGUUUUUUUUUUUUAGACAGAGUCUUACUCUGUCGCCCAGGCAAUGGUGCCAUCUUGGCUCACUGCAAUCUCCGCCUCCCGGGUUCAAGCGAUUCU